rnacentral:lncRNA from 1 species
CAACUGGAUAAAAAUAGUCUUGAACUAAAUAUGCACAUGAUGUUUGAGAAGAGUGUUCUUCGUGUAAUUUGAUAAUAUUUGAUAUGCAAUAAGCGAAAACAUGUACGUACAAAUUCCAUGCACAUGAAUGUCGAAUCUGUCAAAACCUUUUACAAUAGAUCGCAGACAUCAUUUUCUACAUUCUGAUGGUUUAACUGACGCCAUGAAUAUAUUAUUUGCUUCACAUUCUAUGUAAAAAUGGUACAAUUUAUGGAACUUCC